rnacentral:lncRNA from 1 species
AAUCAAUGGGCAACAUGUCAUUUUAUAUAAUUAUUUUUUUAAAUAAUAAAUAAAGUAGUGAUACUAUAGUAACAGUAAUCACAAAUACUAAUAUAGUAUUGUAAUAUUUUGAUACCAUGGUGUUAUUAUUUUAGUGAUACUAUAGUAAUAGUAAUUACUGACACCACUUACAAGUGUCACUAUUUUUCUGACUCCCAGAUUACUGACACAAUUAACAAGUGUCAGUAAAAGUAAUUUCUGACACUAUUUUAAAGUCAAUAAAAGCCAUUUUUCUAGUAGUGUAGGACGCUAAGGUGUCAUAAUAGCUGGAAUAUUUUACAUAAUUGCAUUGCCACAGUCAUGUAAGUUCAUACAUAUAUGACAGAAGUCAUGUAACUUGCUAAAAUAUACAAUUACAUUCCACUAAAUAGUUAGAAGAGAUACUUAGUAAAUAUAUAUAUAUUUUGCACUGAUAGAAUGCUGGGAUGUGAUAACAACUGGAACAUUUUGCUCACUUACAUGACUGCAAUCAUGUAAGUUCAUAUAUACACGACUUCUGUCGUGUAACCUAUUAAAGUACAUUAUUACAAUCCAAUAAAUAGUUAGAUGACAUAUUUCUUUUCUAAAAAUGUAUUUUUUGUACUAAUACGCUACUCUUAACAGUUAGAAUAUUUUACACACUUGCACGACUACAAUCGUGUAAAUUCAUACAUACAAGGCAGCAGUCGUGUAACUUGCUAAAAUAUACGACUAUGAUCCAGUAAUAAUUAGAGGACAUAUUCAGUGAAAAAAAAUAUAUUUUUUGCACUAAUAGAAUGAUAAUGUGUCAUAACAACUGGAACAUUUUGUACAUUUGCACGACUGCAAUCGUGUAAAACAGGUGUAGAAUAAAAGUUUGUGAAUAAAAUGAGAUUUCAACAAAUAUAGUUUGAAAAUCUAUUACAUACGAUGAAAUGAUGCAAAUAUAUUGAGAAUGUGAGUUGUUUUGUUGUUUAUCACAAACCAAAUAAAACCUUAAAAAUAAUAUAAUAUCAAGAAAAUGCAUAAAUAACACAUAAAAUAAAUUUAAAGUGUAAAAUACCUUAUUAAUUGGAUAAAUAAUACCCCUCAUUGCAAACCAAAAUCUCAACACAUUGGCUGUUUAUUAGUGAUUUUGAAAGUGUCAUGGAAUGAUUUUUUGUUGUGUGGAGUGAAAGAGUGUGCUAGAGUGAUUUUAACUUGUGUUUUAUAUUUUUCUUUUAGGGAUACUUUGGUCAAUACACAACACAAAAAGUCAUAUAUACAUAAUUAUCAAGUAUGGGGUAUAAAUAAAUAAAUACUCCUGUUUUGGGACAUAUUUAAUUAAAAACCCCACUGUCAAGACUAUGAAUUAGGGUUUAUAAAUUUUACUAGUUAAUGUCAUACGUGUAAGUGAAAAAUGCAAAAGUGUUCCUGAAGAAUUUAGUAGGAUAUACAUAAAUAAAAAUGACAUAAUGCCAUUUAGUGAUGUUGGUGCAGUACUUUACGUGGUGCAUGCCAUGUUGGAUUAUCACUUCACUUGUGAUUUCUAAUGCUAGAAAUAAAAUAGAUUGGAAAAGAAAAAAAUGAAAAAGAAUUCAUCAUAAUAUCAUAAUCAUUGAUUACACAAGUGAUUUAGUUGCAAAAGUAUUUAAAUUUAAUUUGUUAAUAAAUUUAUUGCACUUAAAAGAUCGAAUUAUAAUUUUAUUUAUUUAU